rnacentral:rRNA from 1 species
GACGAACGCUGGCGGCGUGCCUAAUACAUGCAAGUAGAACGCUGAAGGAGGAGCUUGCUCUUCUGGAUGAGUUGCGAACGGGUGAGUAACGCGUAGGUAACCUGCCUGGUAGCGGGGGAUAACUAUUGGAAACGAUAGCUAAUACCGCAUAACAGUAGAUGUUGCAUGACAUUUGCUUAAAAGGUGCAAUUGCAUCACUACCAGAUGGACCUGCGUUGUAUUAGCUAGUUGGUGGGGUAACGGCUCACCAAGGCGACGAUACAUAGCCGACCUGAGAGGGUGAUCGGCCACACUGGGACUGAGACACGGCCCAGACUCCUACGGGAGGCAGCAGUAGGGAAUCUUCGGAAAUGGACGGAAGUCUGGCCGAGCAACGCCGCGUGAGUGAAGAAGGUUUUCGGAUCGUAAAGCUCUGUUGUAAGAGAAGAACGAGUGUGAGAGUGGAAAGUUCACACUGUGACGGUAUCUUACCAGAAAGGGACGGCUAACUACGUG